rnacentral:rRNA from 1 species
UACGAAGGGGGCUAGCGUUGUUCGGAAUUACUGGGCGUAAAGCGAGUGUAGGUGGUUGUCCAAGUUGGAUGUGAAAGCCUUGAGCUCAACUCAAGAAAUGCAUUCAGGACUGGGCGACUAGAGGACCGGAGAGGAUAGUGGAAUUCCCAGUGUAGUGGUGAAAUACGUAGAUAUUGGGAAGAACACCAGUGGCGAAGGCGGCUAUCUGGACGGUUUCUGACACUAAGACUCGAAAGCGUGGGGAGCAAACAGG